rnacentral:rRNA from 1 species
AACGAACGCUGGCGGCAUGCCUAACACAUGCAAGUCGAACGAGACCUUCGGGUCUAGUGGCGCACGGGUGCGUAACGCGUGGGAACCUGCCCUUAGGUUCGGAAUAACUCCCCGAAAGGGGUGCUAAUACCGGAUAAUGUCUUCGGACCAAAGAUUUAUCGCCUUUGGAUGGGCCCGCGUUGGAUUAGCUAGUUGGUAGGGUAAAAGCCUACCAAGGCGACGAUCCAUAGCUGGUCUGAGAGGAUGAUCAGCCACACUGGGACGGAGACACGGCCCAGACCCCCGGGGGGGGGAGCAGGGGGGACUAUUGGACAGGGGGCGAAAGCCUGACCCAGCAGGGCCGGGUGAGUGAUGAAGGCCUUAGGGUUAUAAAGCUCUUUUACCCGGGAUAAAAAGGACGGUACCGGGAAAAAAACCCCCGGCAAACCCCGU